rnacentral:rRNA from 1 species
AUGACCGACCUUCCCAUCGGAGAGCCGCCCAAGACCAAGGUUGAGGGCAACACCUCCAGCUUGUACGACAAGACGCUGUCGACGGCGUCGAACCUGGCGAGGCUGCUGCCGACGGGCACCACGACGGCGUUCCAGACGCUGGCGCCGUCCUUCACCAACCACGGCGAGUGCCUAUCGGUGAACCGCUACUUCACCUGGGCGCUCAUCCUCUUCCUCGGCGUGCUCUGCGCGCUCCUCUCCUUCACGGACAGUGUCACCGACCGGCACGGCCACACCCGCUACGGGUUCGUCCACCCGUGGGGCUUCACGCCCUUCAACUCCGACGACCCCGACGGGGGCGGGGCCAUCCCCACGGGCGAGAGCAGGAGGCGGCGCAUGCGGUGGCGGGACUGGCUGCACUCCGUGUUCCGCUUCGUCGUCUUCAUCUCGCUCGCCUUCUGCGACUCCGGCGUGCAGAAGUGCCUGGUCCCGCGCGAGAGCCGGCAGUGGCGCGAGUUCCUCGUCAACAUGCCGCUCGCCUCGAGCUUCCUCGCCAGCUUCGUCUUCAUGAUCUUCCCCUCCACCAGGCAUGGCAUCGGCGCCGGCCCCGGGGCCCCCGCCGCCCCCCUCCACAACCUCACCGACACCAAUGCCGAUGCCGCCGCCGUCAAGAGUGAUGAGCUGAAGAAGAGCAAGAGUGCUCCCGUGGCCGCAGACACCCGAGUUGUCCCGUCCACCAGCUAUGAGCUCCACCAUCUCGUCUAG